AAUGACGGUGAGCGGCGGCACCAAAAGAAUGCAGACGACAAAGGAGACCACGAAUGAUAGAAGUUCAAAAAGGGAGAGGCAGGCAUGAGGAAGACGUCGACGCAAAAAGGACAACAGAGCGACCGAAACAAGGAAGCAGGGAAACGUGGCGUGAGCUGCGAACACAAUCGAGAAAGGCUGGUGGACACACAAACCGGAAGAUCCGCAUCACAAGCGUUCACCUGCGCGCUCUCCUGAAGGUACGCGCGGAAGUGCUCCUGCGUGAUGUUGCCGAGGCAGAAGGACGGCAUCACCUCCGUCUCGGCAAAAUCCAAACCCCAGGUCUUGGUGAAGAAGUCCGACUCGCGUUUGGCCAGCCUCGGGUCGUUGAGGGCCGCCGGCAGGUUGACCUUGGAACUGUGAACCGUCCAGCGGUCGUGCUCCGAGACCACAGAGGGACCCUCGCGUAGGCCCCGCCCAUCGCCUGCGCAGAGGAUUAUUACGAUGCCACUGAUUAGGGCUGAACAAUUAAUCCAAUAUGAUGUUUUGAUGUGUCAUCAUCAUCAUCACACAGGCGAUGUGUUCAGAUGAGCGUCGCCAUUUGUCCUCACCCGUGGGCUCUUUCGGACACACGUCGGGCAGCGAGCGGACCGGCCGACGCCGGGAGGAAGAGGGCGACGAGGGGUCCCGCUCCUUGCGGUAGAGCCCGUCUGGGACGGCGGGCCGAGGCACUGGCGAGGAGACGGGGCGGGCUGCCAUCACCGGCUAGCUGCACGAAGGGGAGCGAGAAAGCACACGUUAAACAUGGGCGAUGCCUUCCAAGUGCCAUUGUGUUGUCUCUUACAUUAAACAGCAGUGGUGGCUCUCCUUGCCCAUAUGCUAAGUUGGCUCAACUAUGGUGUUUUCCAUGAUAUGUUAGCAUUAAGCUACAGAUUGAUACGCGAGGCAUCACGAGAGUUCCCACCUUAAGCGAGACGUUUUUCCCGAAGGUGACGUCUCCUGACACCGUAAGGUGGUCCAACUCCAGCAUGUCCGGGAUGCUGUCGAAGCGGGACAGGAACUCUUGGACCUGACGGAGCAAAUGAGCGCUGAAGCUAACACGAAUGUAAGCGAAGGCUGAUGUCACAGCCUGCAACAGCCACUGACCUUGGAGAAGCAGCCUCCCAGCUUGACGUGCGGCGUGGUGGGAAACUCCCUCUUUUGGCUCAUGGUGAGCGAACCCGCGUCCAGGCUGUAGAGGUUGGACAUGACCAGCAGGAGGUCGGAGGACGUCUUGACGGGCAGGAAGCGCGAACGCGGCACGUUGACGCCCAUGGCGUUGCGGAAACUCUUGAUGGCCGCGCCCACCGCCGUCUCCAGCUGGAUCACGUUCAGACCGCCCUCCAGCGUCUACGCGGACACGUCGGUGACGGUGAGGUGACAUCACAUCCUAGACCAGGACGAGACCUGACGGCGUGUUGUGCGCAUGACCUUGGGGUUGACGAUGACCUCCAUGUCCAAGGCGUUGUUUUGGAGUAACCUCUUGAUGGCGCUCAGUGAGAUCCACAAGUUGUUGGUGUUGAAGAUCUUGAACUUGGUGACCGACUUGAACUCAUCCACGUGAGCUUUGGGAACCUGAGCGAUCUCCAGAAGCCUCAGGUGGUCCUCGUAUUGGAUCAGCGUGCCGCCCUGAAAGUCACAACCGCAGGAAGCGAGCGUCACGUUUAGAGCGGCUGCGCCGGGGAGGUGCCCUCGGGUCGCACCUUGACGUCGGCGCGGGUCUUGUCGGUGAGCUCCAUGACGAACUCGCAGCGCCUGUCGGCCGGUUGGUCGAUGAGGCGUCGGAGGAUGUGCAGGUCGACGGUGGCGCCCAGGUUGUCGAUGUUGGACACGAAAAUGUACUCCUUGCCGUCAUCCAGCAGUCGCUGGAGAAGGCCCGAGUUGGCCAAGCUGGCGUAGAUGUCGCCGUGACCCGGCGGGUACCACGCCUCGGCGCUGUCCAAACCUUUGGCGAUGGGCAGCAGCGACUCCUUGUUGAUGCGCGGGUACCUAAGCACCACACAUUUGGUUUAUGUGUGUGUGUGUGUCCACCUGCCCGUUUUGUCAUUUUUGUACCUGCUCUGGUUGAAGGUGUGUAUCUUGAGUCGGUGAUGUUUGUACUUCUGAAGAAUCUUCUUGGUUUCUUGGUCCGUGUUGAAGGAGUUCAUCAACACCAGAGGGACGUCGGCAUCGUACGUCUUGUUCAAGUGCUGCAAAAAGGGAGGAUGAGAAGCAGAAGCAAGAGGAAGGAAGGAGAAGGCUGGACGGCUCGCUGACCUCGAUCUGCUUGACGGUGAGGUCGAGGAAGGUGUUUUCGUUGCGGACGCUGAUGAGACUUUUGGCGCCUUUGCAGCCCAUGCUGGUGCCCAGGCCUCCGUUGAGCUUGACCACCGCCAGCUUGUUGAGGCACGCCGCCACGUCGGCCGGCACGUCGGCCGCCACCAUCUCCUCGUACGCCACCACCUCGACGACGCAAGGGCUUAUGUCACACGCGUCGCCGACCGGGGGUGCGUUCAGUGACCACUCUCAAAAUAGGACAUCUCAAAAUGACAUACAAGUAACUUAUUCAUUGUCCCUCACAGAGGAGAGGAUUUAUUUCUUAAUUUUCUUAAUGAAUUUAUAUUUUUUUACAUUUAGUCCAAUUAGGAAAAUCAAAAUCACAUGAUCUGAAGUCAAGGUCAGCCGUGAAGCGUCAACACGGGCGGUGACGCAACGCGAGCGGCCGCUAGGUCGCGGCCUGACCCCGAGGCGCGUUUCAACAUGGCCAGCAGGUGUCCAAAGGUCUGGCGCUCAUCGCCCGAACACAACAACUAUUCCUGGCGCUGACCUUCAGUGGCGCCGCCGCUAUUCCAGGCGCGUGCAUGCACGGCGUGCUCAUUUCAAGAACCGCCACUCGUGCGGGUUACUCACGGCUUCCUUGGGCAGGCGUUUGAUUUUGGCCCAGUCCACGGAAGGUCCUUUAACUUGUAGGAACCUGUGGAAGAGCCUCUUGAAGCCCUCAAAGUCUUUCUUGCAACUCUGAAAAAAACACAACAAAGACACAGCGGCUCUUUCAACAGGAUGACGACGAGCCGCCGCCGCUCACGUCGAGGAAAAACACACGGCAAGCUAGCAAGCGAGUCCCACGUUUGGGGCAAUUUGUCCAAUCCCAGCGCUCCUUCCAAAAAGAACUUUUAGAAUUUUUUUUAAGCAGUUGCUACUCCUUGAACGACUAGUGUUGAGUAGGACUUCCAGUUGGUGGUUCUGCCACGACCUUUGAACUCUUUUCAUCUAACCUGCGCGUCGGCAUCGCCGACGGUGGCGACGAGCUCGUCCAGCUCGCGGCACAUGGACUCCUCGUGCUGCUGCCGAAGCUUCUCCUGGAACUCCGUCAUGGCUGCUGCAGUGAGAUCUGCGCACAGGAAGUCGACAAGUUCCUUUUGGUCGUCAAGGGGAAUUGAUAUUUACAGAAAAUAUGUGCGCCUAUGGUUUUGCUGUGUCAGGUGUUUUUUUUUUCGGUGAAAGUGAUUGGAGGGGGAAAAAAAAAGAUUAAAAAUCAAAACUCACCCGCCAUCAUCAAGGCAGACACGGCGUCACACGGUGGUUUUAAAGCUCAUGCACGCAGAAGCGACCCAGUGAGUGCGUCCCUCGCAAGUGGCAAAGCCUUCAUCCCCCUCAUCCUCAGAACGCUGACUCACAGCCCCGCCCACAAGCGUGCCAGCCAAUUACACGUAGCGAGAUAAAGGCUUCUUUCUUUGUAUGUAAAGGGUUGCCGAUGAGGCUGGCCGGCAAAUGUCAUUUUACGGCAAAUUGCCUGUAGAUGAGAAUGCGAGUCGUUCAUCUCUGUGUGCCCUGUGAUUGGCUGGGAACCGGUUCAGGGUGUCCCCCAACCUACUGACAGCUGGCCCCAGUGUGGGGGACGAGUGGUACGGAUAAUGGAUGGAUGGAAGUUUACUUUGAGAUUAUUUCCAAUCAUAAAAUCCUGAAAAUGUAUUUUUGUGGUUAAAAAGAUAUCGUUGGGCACAGACACAAACAAUAAUAAUGUACCGUUUUUCUUGUAAAAAAAGAAAAAUAAUAUUUUAUAUUCUUUUUAUUCUAUUUAUUUUUUAUUUUAUGCACUGAUCGGUUGGCACUUUUUAAAUUUCGUUGUACAUGUGUGACAAUGACAAUAAAGAUCUAUUCUAUUCUAUUCUAAAAAGAAAGAAAACUAAAUCUCUAUUUAUUUUGAUUCCUUCAUUCACACUACUCCGUUUUUUUGUCUUUUUUUUCUCUGGGUGUUUUCCCCCCUCCUGAUGGAACAGAAGUGUACGCUCUUUGUUCAGAUGUUGAAAAAAACAAAAACGUGUUGUAACGUGAGCUUGAAGUUGACAUUUCGACUGGGUUAGGGUUAGCGUUGUAGUUCAAACAUAGAACUAAACUAUUAUCAGUUUCUACAUUGAUAAUCAUUUCAAACACCAAUUGAUCAAAUACUAACAAUCAAAUAUCCACAGUUUAUCUGUUUCGGACAAUUUUGUGCAACAAGUUUCAACCGUUUACAUAAUAAUUAUUAUGAAUGAUAAGAUUGUUAAUCAUGAUUCAUUUAAAACUUGUGCACGUUUGCUUUUGGAUGGAAUUGAAAUGUAUUUGCGCUUCUAUGAACGCAACAAGACACGCACGCGCACUCAACGCUUGACAGACGACGUGCUCACCUCAAGACUAGAAGAAGCGAGUCAGGUUCAGAAAAGCCAACACGUCAACUCUGUCGCCCUCUAAAACGAAGUCCAGCGCCACACAAAAGUUGGCUUUUAUGGGCCAAAUUUGGCUCGGCGAGCAUUUUCCUGGGAGCUAGCCCAAA